rnacentral:lncRNA from 1 species
AUGAGGAAAGCAGGCGCUGCCGCCAAGCCUACCUACGCCCUCCUCGAGAGGCGGCUGCGCCUGAUCCUGCUGAAGCGAAGCCGCCUGCGCCGUGAGGGGAGCUUAGCUGCGGCGCUGGCGCAGAGCAUGGCGCUGGCGGUGAUCAGCACGGCGGGCGCCUACCCCAGCUGGGUGCUGGUGGAGAUGGGCGAGGAGCAGAUCGUGCUCGGGGCGGCCUGGGCCAUCACCCGGGUCUCCCCGCCCCCCAACGCGCCGCUGCUGGGCCCGGAGGGGGCUCCGAUCAUGCUGGCCAUCGCUUUCUGCUGUCUCUUCAGCGUGCUGACAGGCUCGCUGGCUCUAGCGCUGGAUUUCUUAGGGCGGCGCCGAUGUCGCAUGCUGGCGCCCGUGAUGCACGGCCUCACCGCGGUGCUCAUCGCUUGCACGGCAGCACUGGGUUCUUGCCUCCUGGCGCUGGUCCGCGGGCGCACCCACACGGAGCCGGAGCUGGCCGGCUCGUCCACUAUGCCAGGGCAGAGCCUCUUCUUGGCUUUCCUGGCCUGCACGCUGGCUUCCACCGCCACGGGUCUGAGCUGUACGUCUCCGGCCCGAGUGGAGCCGGCCCGCUCGUCGUGGGAUUUCGGGACUCCUUGGGGACCCAGAUUCUUCCAGAGCCUGGUUCCGAGCGAAAAGAUCCACGAGACAACGCCCGCUACUCUCUCCUUGCCCGAGACCAGCGCCGCCCCUUCUCUAAUAAUCUCGAGUCCGACCCAGGAAGGGUAUUUGAAUUUUCAGCAGUCGGACUACGGGAGUAGCCUCCAGUUCCCAUUCAGAAUCCCCGCCCUCCGGGAGGAGGUAGACAUCGACGACUUCCUCGCCCAGCGGGAUCACUCGUAUGUGCAGCGCCACCCGUCGCUGGCCGGGCGUUCUUCGGACGAGGCGUCGCAUUCAGCGUGGCCGCAGCCCUCGAUGCUCGAGCUGGCCCGAAGCUCGCUGGAAAGGUGCUUCCAGCCUGCUUAUAUCUUAGAGGAUUUUUUCGACGAAAGCGAGAAUGAAGCGGCUGCUCUUCCAAGGCGAGAGGGGGAGAUCUCCCUAGUUAGAGAGAGGAAUGACACGGAAGGGAAAAGUUCCUCUACUGGAAUCCAACCCCCUGAACAACAUUUGCAGGUUUCUGCAGACCAGAAGGAAGACAAUGCGAAUUUGGGAGAAGUAACUUCAAAAGUCUGA